GACAGAGGGUGCAAACGUUGUUCGGAAUUACUGGGCGUAAAGCGCGUGUAGGCGACCAUCUAAGUCGGGCGUGAAAUCCCACGGCUCAACCGUGGAAGUGCACUCGAAACUGGAUGGCUAGAGUCCUGGAGAGGAAGGUGGAAUGCUUGGUGUAGAGGUGAAAUUCGUAGAUAUCAAGCGGAACACCGGUGGCGAAGGCGGCCUUCUGGACAGUGACUGACGCUGAGACGCGAAAGCGUGGGGAGCAAACAGG
rnacentral:rRNA from 1 species